rnacentral:rRNA from 1 species
ACGCACGCUGGCGGCGUGCUUAACCCAUGCAAGUCGAACGGAAAGGCCCUGCUUUUGUGGGGUGCUCGAGUGGCGAACGGGUGAGUAACACGUGAGUAACCUGCCCUUGACUUUGGGAUAACUUCAGGAAACUGGGGCUAAUACCGGAUAGGAGCUCCUGCUGCAUGGUGGGGGUUGGAAAGUUUCGGCGGUUGGGGAUGGACUCGCGGCUUAUGAGCUUGUUGGUGGGGUAGUGGCUUACCAAGGCUUUGACGGGUAGCCGGCCUGAGAGGGUGACCGGCCACAUUGGGACUGAGAUACGGCCCAGACUCCUACGGGAGGCAGCAGUGGGGAAUAUUGCACAAUGGGCGGAAGCCUGAUGCAGCAACGCCGCGUGCGGGAUGACGGCCUUCGGGUUGUAAACCGCUUUCGCCUGUGACGAAGCGUGAGUGACGGUAAUGGGUAAAGAAGCACCGGCUAACUACGUG